rnacentral:lncRNA from 1 species
CCAGCAAAUGGGAGAUCUGAUUUGAUGCUCGAGUAUUAGUGUUGAGCCUGGACAGGCACCCCCCGCCCCAAGUCAUUGCCUUCCCACAGCAAAGCAGUGGAAGCCAAUCCCCAGGGGCUAUGUAGACAGCAUCGGCCACAAACACCAUGGCAGGAGAAAGAGGAGUCGCCCUUUUGCUGCUGAGGCUGAGCGCUUCCUCCAAGAGGACAUUAUGUCUAAGCUGCCGCUGAAAGAUGUGAGCAACUGGUGGGAAAUGAGGAUGUAACCUCUGCUUCCUCAGGACCUGGUGGUGGGAGAGGACCUAAGUCAAAGGGGUACAUGUGCUUCGUAGAGCCGGUUCAAGAAGAAGGGCAGCGGGCAGCUGAGGAGGCAGCCGAGGGACAGAAACAGGGCUUGCUAAUGGAAAUUUCCAUGCCACCUGAAGAGAUUUCUCCCUAAGUAAAGCGACAGAUGAUUGGACCAUAGAUUACUAAGGCCAAUGACCAGAUUUUGUUCCUAGAAUCACGGAGAAUGCCUAGUGCAUAGUAGGCCCAUGGAAAUGUAUUUUCCAGAGGUGAGUGCAGAUUCAUUUUUGAAAGGCCCUGCGUAGAAAUACCUGGGACCACUAAGUCCUGAGGCGCUGGACACAGUACUUGCUAUUGGGUGUGUAGAUUCAUCAUGAGACUCUUUAGAGUGAGCAAUUUGUCCAUGGAGGAGUCUAGAGUUAAGUGACAAGAUGUGGAGCCUGAGUGUGGCCGGAGUCACUAGUAGCUCCUGGAAUGAAUGCCACCGAGGAGGGACCGUAGUACUGAGAAGGAGUCCCCAGCACAGCACAGCAUAGCACAGCAGAGCACAGCAAACAGUAAAGUGUGAGCAGAAAUAGGACAACGUGUAAGCUGGAAACGCGGUGCACCAAGUGGUUUUCCUAGGCUGAUCUCUAUGCAGUGGAAACGGGAGUUAAGCUAUGAGGCUGCCCUGUAUGUGCUAUGCAAACAUUCUACUGUCUGGCUAGAUUGUAUUUAUUAUGGUGAUGAUGAUGAUGGUGGUGGUGGUGGUGGUAGUGUGUGUGUGUGUGUGUGUGUGAACUUGAGCCAUGGUGCACACAUGGAGGUCUGAAACAACUCUUAGAAGUCAGUGUAUUCCCUGGGAUCAAACUCAAGUGAUCAGGUUUGGUGACCCAAACCUUGU